UAAGUGUAUAGGUAUUAGACUUGUUUUUCUACAUAUAUGUGAAUUUUAAGAUCAAUUAAAUAGUGUAAAAAAGAGAUAUUAGCAUUAAAAAAUUAGCAUAUAGGUCGUCCAAUAUCUAAACUGAUUUUAGGUUUUUUCAUUUAAUAAGUGCAAUUAUCUUCAAAUUUGUUAUAUUUUUUUUUCAACUAAGAAAUUGAAAGGAGUAUAAAGUUUUAAGCAAGAUCAAUGAUUUAAUCAAUAAAUAUUGAGGUUCUAAUCUACUUUAGGAUUGAUUUGAAUUGAUUAAGUUUUGGUUAGGAUUUUAUUUAAAAUUUAGGAUUUGGCUAGGAUUUGAUUUAAGAUUUAGGAUUUAUUUAAGAUUUUAUUUAGGAUUUAGGAUUUAAGAUUUUUUUAAGAUUUAGUUUAGUAUUUAGAAUUUAAU
rnacentral:lncRNA from 1 species